rnacentral:lncRNA from 1 species
UUAACAGAGCAUUGUGAGGGACAGCUGAUGACAGGUAUGAUCAGACUUCCACGUUCACCUGCAGUCUGGAGGGGACACGAGGGAAACGCAGAGCCAUUAGGAAGAAACGUGGCUGCCACACCUCCUGGGUGCUGGGGUGAACCAUUGCCAGGUGUCCCAGGCCUUGUCCUUGAGCCCAUGCUCUGAGGGGUAGGCUCCCAGCCUCCCAGGAUGACCAAGUUCUCAUGGGUAAGAAAGUAGCCAUGCCAAGUGGGCUGUCCACAGGACAUGCUCACACCAGGAUGGGACUCUCCCUAUCCUAGGCUUUACU